ensembl:lncRNA
AUCCAGUUGUGGUCGACCACACUAUUAAAAAGAUGUUGAGGCUCUAGGAAGAGGGCAGAGAAGAGCAACCAGGAUGAUGAGGGGACAGGAGGGUAAAACAUAUGAAGAACGGUUGCAGGAACUGGGCCUGGCUAGUCUAGGGAAGAGAAGGACCAGGAUAGUAAUAUUCCAAUAUUUGAGGGCUGCCACAGAGAAGAGGAAGGGAUCAAGCUAUUCUCCAAGGCCAGACAAGGAAUAAUGGAUGGAAACUGAACAAGAGAUUCAACCUGGAAAUAAGGAGGAAUUUUCUGACAGGGAGAACCAUCAACCAAUGGAACAGAAGUUGCCUUCGGAAGUUGUGGGAGCUUCAUCCCUGGAGGCUUUCGAGAAGACUGGAUUGCCAUCUGUCAAAAAUGGUGUAGGGCAGGGGUCCCCAAACUUGGCCACUUUAAGACUUGUGGACUUCAAUUCCCAGAAUUCUCCAGCCAGCAUAGCUAGCUGGAGAAUUCUGGGAGUUGAAGCCCACAAGUCUUAAAGUGGCCAAGUUUGGGGACCCCUGAUGUAGGGUCUCCUGCUUGGGCGGGGGGUUGGACUAGAUGACCUACAAGGCCCCUUCCAACUCUGUUAAUCUGCACAUCUGGCCGAUGGGACGCCAAACCCAAAGGCAGGCAAGGGUAUUUGGGUCUGGCAGCCAAACAGGCGUCAAGUAUCACAACGUCUUAAGAGCAAAGCAGGCCCUUUUCUUAUCACCGUUUCCAGAUGGAGCAGCUGGUGGCUGAAGUGGGUUGUGGGGUUGUGUGUGUGUGUGUGGGCGGGGGAGAGAGAGGAGAGAGGGAAUUUGUGCCACUUAAAAACCAGUGACCUUCUGUGGGGAUCAACCUGACGCUUGGCAUUCACCCAGUUUGGCCCCUUUUGGGAGCGUUGAGCGCUGCUGGAAUUUGGGGAGAUAAUGAUGGUGACGGCUGGCCUAUCCUGGCUUAAUGAAGCUGGUUUUGAACUUCCUGACCCAGAAAUGCAACCAAGAACGAAGCGCCUGGCAAGCUUACCCCCAUUGUGCUUGGUUUACUGAUGUGCCCACCGGGCCGGGGAAAAAGGUCAACGGUCAGGAAGAAGGGUCAGGCAAGUCACAGAGGAUGGCAAGUAGCAUUUUGAUACACUGGAGCUUGCACAUUAAUAAAAGGGCUGCCAACAGACCUCCAGCAUGUUUUCAAAUGUUAAAAUCUGCCUUCUGGUCUCUUCCUCAAAUCAGGGAAACCCCUGUUUUCUUAGAUCCUCCAUCGCCUAUGUAUCAAGCUUAUUCUCACCCAGCCUGCCUUCCCCACCUGUUCACUUAAUGUCUAAUUAUUACCCGCACAGGAGAGAGCAGACAAAUUGUAAUUACCCUGCAUCAAUCAGAUAUUAAGUUAUUUGCAAUUCAAAGCAGCCAUCCUGUCUCUCCCCCCCCCCCCCAAAAACGCAGAUAAACAAGUUUUAUAAUACGAAACUUAAAACUGUGGGAAGAAGGUGUUGGCUUCCAGAUAGAUGAUUUGCAGUCCCUGCAAACUCGAGACACCUGAGUGUGUGUGUGUGUGUGUGUGUGUGUGUGUGUGUGUGUCGGGAGCAUCUUAGGCAAUUUCCUUCCAAUGGGUUUUGUGCCCAACCCAUCUCCCCGGUUCAUGGCAAUGAGAGGUGUGAGAGGGAGUCAAGGGGAGGCACUCGUUGGCUGGAUGGGGCACAUUAUUUUGUGAACAUUUCAAGCAUUUGCUGUAGGAACGUAGGUGCUUGGAGGUUUGCAGUAGAUAGAGGUCCUGGAAGUAAGGGAAAUUUUGAGGUUGGGAUUUAAACUUUAAAAGGAGAAUGCAAAAGACCAAGAGAAGAGAGAUGGAUAUGGGGUCAGGAACAGAUUUUGCCUGUUAAUUUUCAGAACAGCUCAUCAGUGUGUGUGUGUGUGUGUGUGUGUGUGUGAAGUAUCAAUAUUUCAGUCCUUCAUAGCUUUCUCCAUUUUUCUCUAGGUCCUGAAUAAGAUUUUUCCAUGUGGCCUUCACUGAGAAAGUAGUUAAGCUAAAUAACAAUAGAAUUGAGACUUAUAUACAGCUUCGCAGCCCUCUCUAAGUAUUUACGGAGUCAGCCUCUUGCCCCCAACAAUCUGGAUCCUCAUUUUACGCACCUCAGAAGGAUGGAAGGCUGAGUCAACCUUGAGCCGUUCAGGAUCGAACUGAUGGCAGUGGGCAGAAUUAACCUGCACUACUGCAUUCUAACUGGAAGGAAGGAAGGGGAAGGGAAGGAAGGAAGGUAGCAAUAGCCUUUAGACUUAUAUACCGCUUCACAGUGUUUUGCGGCCCCCUCUAAACAGUUUACAGAGUCAGCCUCUUGCCCCCAACAACCUGGGUCCUCAUCUUACCCACCUCGGAAGGAUGGAAGGCCGAGUCAACCUUGAACCGGUAAGGAUCAAACUCCUGGCAGUGGGCAGAGCUAGCCUGCAAUGCUGCAUUCUAACCACUGCCCCACCACAGCUCUUUAAAUGCCAGACACUCAAGGUUAUUCCCUGAGCAUCGCAGCUCCUUAGUUACUAAAGCCAGCCCACAGCCAAGUGACCUGGAGCUUCAAAAAUUUCUAGAGCUCCAGAAUGUUUUCAAGUGGAGCGUGAACAGAAGAUCUGCACCGUCUCUGGACCACUCAGGUUUCUACAUGCAAUUAAAGUCAUUUGACAGAAAGGCACCAUAAAAUAAAUGGGGGGGGGGGCUAUUCCCUGUUACACAAUUCUGCCUUAAGCAGGCAUAUAUUUCAAGAACGCCCUUUCUUAACUACAGGAAGUCCUUGACUUAUAACUUUCUGUAUAGUGACCAUUCAAAGUCACAAUGGCACUCAAAAAGUGAUGAUUGCUUUUCACAUUUAUGAUCACUGCAGCAUCCCCAUAAUCAUGUGAUCAAGAUUCAGGCACUUGGCAACUGACUCAUAUUUAUGACAGUUGCAGAGUCCCCGGGUUACAUUGGAGCAAUACCCAAAAGGUUGCCUAGAUAUAUGGAAAUGUUGAAGUUAUCAGACUUGAAUAUUCUGACUUUGCAAAAAAAACCCAAAACCCCACCUUACUCAGAACUUCCUAUAUAUUCAGAAGUUACCGUAACAGCUAAAAGUGGGGAAUUUUCUCUGGCUUUUUUUUAUUAUUCAUAUUUAUAUGCCGCCCUUCUCCGGAGACUCAGGGCUGCUUACAAUUUUGGAGCAACCCAAUGCGCUCAGCAAUAGCCUUCAUUCCAUUGUAUAUGCCUGCUUAUUACUAAGCAGCAUUUUUACAAAGUCAGCUUAUUGCCCCCAACAAUCUUGGGUCCUCAAUUUACCUACCCCGAUAGGAUGGAAGGCUGAGUCAACCCUGAGCCUGGUGGGAUUCGAGCCUGCACUAAUUGCAGGCAGCUGGAACUAAG